rnacentral:sRNA from 1 species
CCUUAGCCCAGAUAGAAGCGGUAUCCUUUUAUGCCGGGGUUCGGCAUAAAAGAUAUAGCGGAUAGCUGGAAAUAGC